UACCCUCAAAUAUCCUAUAUAGACAUAGGUCAAAAUUUCCCAUCUCCACAACUCGGUCAAAACUCCACAGAUUGUCAAAAGAGAAUAAUGGAACCGACUGCAAUUCCAGUGACACUUUCCAUCCGCAUUUAUGUCUCUUCAAUCGUCCAACUUGUUAUUUGUUAACAACUGCCGCAAAUCCCUUUAGAAGAUGGCCAAGCAAUUUACCUCCUAUGGGUCCGAGGGACUUCGAUGGCAACUGAUGAUCAGACGAACUGGCAAGAACAUCGGUAUCAAUUGGUAUCAAUAUUCAGCUACAACUUUUUAAUCCAAUCUAUUUUGCACCUGUCCAUUCUUCGAAAGAAUCAAAAUGUAUUGGAGAAAACAGGAGAGCAACUAUGUUUGAAAUAAAGCACAUAAAAUGUU